rnacentral:lncRNA from 1 species
GAAUACGUUGGGUCUUUCAAGAGCCACGAAGACUCAAAGGUGCUAGAAUGUCAGGGUAGAACCCAACCCUUGAUAGUUCCAACUCAAAACUUUCAUAUAUUCCCCCAUGGCUUGUUAGGAUUUGCCACCAAAGCUCAUUAUUGUACCCCCCCCCCCCCCCUUCCCUCCCUCUUCCAUCAUUAUGGGUGUUUCAAGGAGUUAGAGCCUCAUCAAUAACAUUUGAGUCCCUCUCAUAGCCACUAUAUAGCUUGAAUUUUCUCAUCUUUUUGCUUUCUGGGGUUUUGUAGGCCUUCCUUCUUUGCUUGGACAACUCGGAGAGGACAUUAGCAAGGGUUUCCGACUAGGGAGAAUCUGAGAGUAGGAGCUAGGUGCCUUUGCUUCUCUUUCCUUUUGCUAUCAUUAUCGUCUCGGUUAUGCCUUCUCCCUUUAACUUAGAUGAGUCUACUAGAUGAAUCUCCAUGCAAUCCCCCUGUUGUUGAUCGGCAUUCUCUAUGGAGGUAGGUUACUCCAUGGUGCAGGCCUAUGCUGGUGUUUCAGGGUUAGUUUCCUCCUCCUUAGGGAUGGGAAAUUUUUCCUCAUAAUACAAUUUCCACAUUCUCCCCAUUCUUUUACAAAGGGCAGCAAACCGAGCUCCUUAUACUCUUUUUCCAUGGUUUAAUGACUAGCAGGAGCAAGAUAAGAGCAACGCAUCCACGCUGAGCAGAACAACACGAAGGGACAAGCACAUUGAUGGAUGGACAAGUAUAAGCCCAAUAAUCAUUGUCGAUCAGCUGAGGGAACAAGUAUUUAUGGAUGGAGGGAGCUUUAAGCUUCGUAAAUUAGUAUAAGGGUCUCAUGAGCAAAUGCUAGCUAUCAUUGAAACAAGCCUUUUGUGGUCAGGGUUUUGGUUUGGGGGCCUAAUGAAGUUGCAGUUGAGGUAAGGGGAUACUUCAUGACUUGUAACUGGAUUCGGCAAGAAAUGGGCAGAGGAUGCUAGGGUGUUGGUGGGAGGGAUGUUCAUUUGGUUUGUGGCUCUCGGCUGAAAUAUGGGUAGAUGAGGAUGAAAGGUGAUGGGUAGAGGUCCAUUGAAGUAGGGCUGCUAGGUUUUCUUAAAGUAUUCUAUCACCAUGAAUAGGGCUCUUUCAAAGAAGAGAGGAAACUCUCACAUGAAGAAGAAGAGACCGCUUGCCCCGGAUUAGAGUUGAAAUACUUCAAAGGGAGCAAAGGCAAAAAUAUAACUUGGAUGUUGAAAAACAUCAUGUGGUGAAAGUCUGAUCAUGACCCACUUGGAUUAUCUUGCUUUUUAAGAGUACUUGAACAAUACGAUGUUUUUCAUCCACAUAAUAUAAUUUUAUGUUUUUCAAGGUCGAUUUGUAGGCAAUGCUCACAAAGAGUCAUCGACUUUUUUGGUGUGCACAUCAGUAUGUAUCUUUGUCAUAGAAUUAAUCAUCACCGCGAUCUUCCUUCAGCCGAACACAAAUGAUGGUUGCUUGUUAUCAUCUUUAGCGUGUUCUUGUUCUCUCCUCUUUGCCACAUCACAAUCUUCAGCACACACUGACAUGUUGAGUCUUCGGCUUCAACCUGCUUCUCUUCUCGCUCAAAGGCUUGCCAUCUAAGCUAAAAGCCUAUAUUUGGAAUUUUCGAAGUGCUGCUUUCAG